ACGGAGGGUCCAAGCGUUAUCCGGAUUUAUUGGGUUUAAAGGGUUCGUAGGCGGGAUAUUAAGUCAGUGGUGAAAUCCUACAGCUUAACUGUAGAACUGCCAUUGAUACUGAUAUUCUUGAAUUCACCUGAAGUAGGCGGAACAUGACAUGUAGCGGUGAAAUGCUUAGAUAUGUCAUAGAACACCGAUUGCGAAGGCAGCUUACUAAAGUGAUAUUGACGCUAAGGAACGAAAGCGUGGGGAGCGAACAGG
rnacentral:rRNA from 1 species